ACCAAUGGAAUAUGUCUCACUCAAUUUGGAGGUAUGUAGAUUUAGAUAUAACAAUUUCCCAAGAAAACCUGUUUGAUAUUGAAAUUUGGACCAUCCAAAAACCCUAAUUAUAUUCCCGAAAUGAGACAUGGUGGAAAGAGACAACGUUAGGAAAUCCAGAGACAUUGUCGGGGGCCCGGGAAGAUUUAUAUAUAUUUUUCAACAACUUUCCCACCCUAAAAUCGGCUCAACCAGAGAUAGGGUCCAACAGUUGGAAGAGCACCACAUGUCUUGUAGUGUACGGUGUGCCCUCGGUGGCCCUUGAAAAUAUGGAGGACUAAGUACCAUCCAUGCCCGGUCAUACUCAUAACCUCAUUAGGUAUUCGAGGUGAACAACCUAUGGU
rfam:Picea glauca, whole genome shotgun sequence.